rfam:Cricetulus griseus cell line CHO-K1, whole genome shotgun sequence.
ACCCAAGGCCAUACCACCCUGAACACACCUGAUCUCUUCUGAUCUCAGAAGCUAAGCAGGGUUGUGCUUGGUUAGUAUUUGGUUGGGUGAUUUAUUUCUUUCAAGUUGUUUAUAAUU